AGAAAGACUAUGUGCAAGGGGCAGAUCAGCUCCAUCUCAAAGUCUACAGGGCUAAAAGCUAAGUCACUAUUGACUAUGUCACUAAGUGACUAAGUGACUAGUGACGAAGUCACUAUUAGUGACUAUGUGACACAUGUGAUCAGAGACCAAGUCAUCACUUCCAGCACUGUGUUUGUAACUGUUUGCAAUGAAGGCACUGUCACAAACUUUACUAUAGUUACCACCUUUACAAAGAAAAGAACAACAAAGCACAAGGGAACCCCAGCCAGUAUACGUCAGAGAAGCAGGAUGCAUCAUAUAAACAGCACGAGGCUAGACUGUAAGGAGACUACAGCACUCUCACCCUUCUACAAGGUUUGCAAGUCUAUGCAGCACUGAUAUGUAGAGACAACUAGAAAAUCAACCAACUAUAAAUGCAUCCUUCUGCUUAAACCUAACUACAUAUCAACUUACCAAAUCCCUGUGCAACACCCAGUUAGCAUGCAGGUAGUGAAUCCCAUCUAGGAUCUGAUACAAUAGUGACUUCACCAUUCCCCGAGGUAACUGAACUGGCUUCUUGUUUGCUUUAGAAGCUCUGUGAAACUUGAUUAUAUGCUGAAAGAAAGAAAAAUAUCACCAGAAGCUUAAAAAAGAAAAGAGGGAAAGAUCACUUGAUGUAUAAUAUUUUCCUAACAGAAAAAGAAACACUCAGGGAUUCCCAAAGAUAUCGAAAAUAUAAUUUCAUAUUCUGCUGGAUAACAUAAACUUAAAAUUUCCUACUAACUGGAGCUAAAAUUUCAUUUCCUGAGCAAAUGAUCGUGUCUCAGAAAACAAAUGAUUACAACAGAGAAGUUGAGAGCAAUGUGAUUUUAUUUUAAAAGUAUAAUUAAAAAAUACUUUCAGAAUAUACUUGACCCCUGUUUACCUGGUAGAAAUUUUCAAGAACAGAAUCUGUUUUAUCUGUACUAAUUAAAUGAAAAGAAAAUAAACAGAACAAAUUUCAAGAGAUACUUAUGGGUUGGCUGACAUAGCAUAAACGUGUUAACCUGUUUAUAAUACAUGGGUUAUAAAGGAAGGGAAAUUAUUUCAAUAAAAUACACAGAAGCAUAAAGAAAUCACAUGUAAAUGACCAGUUCACACUGUAAAUAUUUAGAAAUAGCUAAGAUUCAGAUGAGAAAAAAAUAGCCUUGUACUAUUCAUUAAAAACUUUCUAGGAACAGUAUUAGUGGACAUCCGGUAAAACACAACACCAUUUUAUAAACAGGAAAAUUGCUUUAUAAACAAAUGUACCUCAGUAGAAACAAGAUCCCAUGUUUCAAAAGCUCUUGACAGGUUUCUUCGUUUUAACUAAAGCACUCUUAAACUGCAAGAACACCUACAAAUCAGCUGAAAUCAACUUUGCUGUGGUGUAACACUAGGCAUAUGCCUGGUACCUCAUGUGCAGAAGAACAGACUCUUGAGCAGUAUUUAUGGGUGAAUAUCAACCAUAUUCUUGACAUUAGUAAACACAACUAAAACAGGACAUAUUUUAUAUUACAGGUCAACAUUUUCACCUCCUAUUUUCUUAUGACAUAGAAAGUAGAACAAGGAUAAGGAAUAACUAGUAACUCAUGAGUGAAGAAGUUUUACUUUCCAAAGAAAAAAAUAUAUAGCAAAGACUACCUGGUGGGAAAGUAAAAGUGUCAGCCUGCAUGUAGUAUGAUUAAUCUAUACUUUAUUAGCAGCAUAACACUAUUUUAAUUUUCUUCUGUUAUCUGCCCAAAGUAUUUUAAAACAGUCAAGCAAAAUAGAGCUAAAACUCAAUAAUCUAGAAUGUUCUGUCACAUAGCCUAAGAAAUGGUGUGACAAUAAAGUCUGUUCACCUUAAGAGCUAGUGGUUUUCAGAGCUUAAUAAAAAUAGAUUAAAAUACAUCAUUAUUUAUAAAAAUUAAAACUUGACAGAGUGAGAAGAAAAGAAGAUGUAGGGGAGGUACAAUAAAUGAUGCCACAUGCACUCCUCCAGUUAACAUUUUUAAGUAAUCUCUAUCCCCAACGUGAGGCUCGAGCUUACAACUCCAAGAUCAAGAGGUGCACACUACUGGCUAAGCCAGUUAAGCACCCCUUCAGUUAACAUUUUCAUUAGGGUUUAACAAAUUACUUUUUUACCGAUAUGUCAUAACUACAAAAAACUACACUGGGGAAAUCGCUUACCUUUGUUUUUAUUCCAGGGCUAUAUAAAAAAUAUGCGGUGUGCUUAGCAUGAAAUUUCACCAACACCUAAGUGAUUUUUUUAAAUGACUCUUUUUACUGCAACUGUUUUUGUUAUCCUCUGCUGCCUUACCCCAGCUAAUUCAACACUCCAAUUAAAAUAAGAAAAUGAAAUGGAUAAAGGAGGUUUUAGUAAAUGGAAUUAUUUUAUUUUUAUUAAAAUGAACAUUAAAAGUACUUAUUUGACUUAAAUGAGUAUUAAUAAGAGGACAAUAAGGCCAAUGAUGCCCAUGUAUACACAUCUGGGAACACUGUAUGCAGCAUAAUCUGCGAAAGUAUAAUUAUUAUAUCGACACGUAAAAUUAAAUAUCACAUACUAGCUAGAAAUUAUACUGAAUACAAUACGAUCUCCUAUGUUCAACUAUUACAAAUCAUGAUUUAUUACAAAUUAUGUUUAUAAACCAGCCUACACAAUUUCUCAUAAAUUUGGAUCAUAUAAUUUGAUUUCAUGUUAGGCUUGAGAAUGAGCGUCCAAUUCAAUAUCGGCCACACUAAUUUAAUAAAUUUUUAUUAACAGAAUCCCAAUUUGAUUUGAUCAGAUUUAUUUUAAAAGAACAGAAGUCAACAACAACAAAAAUAUUUACAACCAGCACUGACUGUGGACAAUAGUUUCAUAGAAGAGAAAAUGUGAUGUCUACUUUCAGUUCAAAACAAUUCUUUACAGAUAACUUACACAAAUAAUUUGAAUCAAAUGGCAUUUACUCAUGGAAAACAGAAAUCCACACAGUGAAAAAUACUUCUUAUAAAUGUGAAAGUAUAUGAAACCCAUAGAAGUUUCCAUUUCUGAAAUCUGUUAGGGUUAAAAUUAUGUAAAUGAGGUUAAUUCUGGAAAUUAGCAAGAGUUGAAAACUAUUUUACUAUUUUCAGGAGGUGAACUUCCUUCCAAACUAUUUACUGUUUACUUGUGUUAGUUUUACUUCCAAAUUUUGUUUUUACAUUUACAAAGUGCAGCUGAAUGAAAACUGUAAAUUAUUUUGAAGAUACCUGAAACUGAGCCAGAAUAUUAUAAUCCCUUGCAUACCAGUACAGAUGGUCCUGACUUACAGUGGUUCAACUUAUGAUUUUUUGACGUGGUGAUGGAGCAAAAGCGAUGAGCAUUCAGCAGAAACCACACUGCGAAUUCUGAAAUGUGAUCUUUUCCCAGGCUAGCAGCACGCAGGCCAGUGCUCGCUCAGGAUGCCAGGCGGCGGCAGCUGCUGUACCUCAGCGAGGGGCAACGGCCAACGCGCUACAACCAUUCCACACUCACACAACCAUUCUUGUUUUCAAGUUCAGGACGGUGUUCAAUAGAUGAUGUGAGGUACCGAGCACUUCAUUACAAAACAGGCUCUGUGUUAGGAGAUUUUGCCCAACUGGAGGGGGAUGUUGUUAAGUGUUCUCAGCACAGUUAAGGUAGA